GCCUUCGUAGUGUAGUGGUCAGCACGCUGGGCGCGUAUUCCAGAGGUCCGUGGUUCGAGUCCCGGCGAAGGCG
rnacentral:tRNA from 1 species